rnacentral:rRNA from 1 species
GAUGAACGCUGGCGGCGUGCUUAACACAUGCAAGUCGAGCGAAGCACGGAAACGGAUUUCUUCGGAUUGAAGGUUCUGUGACUGAGCGGGCGUAGGGUCGAAGGUACGCGUAGGGUAACCGUGCCCUGUACCGGGGAUAACACACAGAAAUGUCUGCUAAUACCGCAUAAGCGCACGAGAAGGCAUCUUCUUGUGUGAAAAACUCCGGUGGUACAGGGUGGACCCGCGUUGGAUUAGCCAGUUGGCGGGGUAACGGCCCACCAAAGCGACGAUCAGUAGCCGGAUUGAGAGGUUGAACGGCCACACUGGAACUGAGACACGGUCCAG